rnacentral:tRNA from 1 species
CGCGGGGUGGUGGAGUAGUACCACGCGGGUCUCAUAAGCCCGAGGCGCCGGUGCAAUUCCGGCCCCCGCAACAA